AUCAAACUUUGCGUCAGCCGAAUCUGUGCCACAACAGCUUGGCUGGUUGGUAGAUGGUGCGGCUGGUGAGUUGCUCUUUUGGCUGCACCCGCAGUUGCGGCUGCCCUCGUCUGCCGCAUGCCACGCCCCCCUGCUCCAUUCACCAGUUCACCAGAGGCGGCGCCUGGCAGACUUUGUGUUGUGCAUUUACUUUGCACUUUCUUCCACGCGAGCGGACAAGGCACCUGGUGGGAGCUGUGGAGUGUGGAGUCCGGAGUCCGGAGUCCAUCGUCCCUAGUCCAUAGUCCAUAGUCGGUUGUGCUUGGUCUGCCGCCUGCGGGGUAUUUGCGUAGCUGCAGGUGUUGCUCCGUCUGCUGCUGCCCAACCAGCCCAGCCCAGCCUGGUAAACCACCAAACCCGCCCACAGUGUCGCCGAUUUAAGUGGCAGCCAUGGAGUAAAUGCAAUAAACACCAUUAGCUGCAACGACUCCGUUGGUCGUCACUUGUUGGUCGUUGGUCGUCGUCGCUCCGUGCGCGUUUCUCGCCCAGUUAUCCUCUGGCUAGGAAAGUUAACUGCGAACUGGGCCAUCAAGGUACGAGUUAGUGGAAAAACGUGGCAGGAGCGGAAGAAGUGGGAGGAGGAGGAUGGGGAAUCUGGGGAAAUGUUGCCGCAUCAAAAUGCAAACGCGAAAGGCGAAAAGAGUCUUAAGUGAAUUGAAUGGAAAACUUUCAAACUGCGGGCGCCAUCAACUUUCGGUGCAAGCGGGUGGCAGAAAGUUUCUGAAGCCUGAUUUGUUUAUAGUUUUCAAGAUUGUCG
ensembl:ncRNA lncRNA:CR46011 long non-coding RNA:CR46011